AGAGUUUGAUCCUGGCUCAGGACGAACGCUUGCGGCGUGCCUGAGAAAUGCAAGUCGAGCGGGGUGUAGCAAUACACCUAGCGGCGAACGGUCGAGUAACACGUAAGCAACCUGCCCUGCAGUGGGGGAUAACAGCGGGAAACUGCUGCUAAUACCGCAUAGGCAUAUUUCUGGGCAUCCAGGGAUGUGUAAAGGCUAGACUGCUGCAGGAGGGGCUUGCGGCCUAUUAGCUAGUCGGUGGGGUAACGGCCUACCGAGGCGACGAUGGGUAGCUGGUCUGAGAGGAUGGUCAGCCGGAUCGGGACUGAGACACGGCCCAGACUCCUACGGGGGGCAGCAAUCAGGAAUAUUGCGCAAUGGGGGAAACCCUGACGCAGCGACGCCGCGUGCGGGAUGAAGGCCUUCGGGUCGUAAACCGCUGUUGUGGGAGACGAAUGACUGUCGAUGAGGCAGUGGAGACGGUAUCUCACGAGGAAGCCCCGGCUAACUACGUGCCAGCAGCCGCGGUAAUACGUAGGGGGCGAGCGUUGUCCGAAGUUACUGGGCGUAAAGCGCGCGUAGGCGGCUCUUUAAGUGACUGGUGAAAUCCCCGGGCUCAACCCGGGGUAGUCUGGUCAUACUGGGGAGCUAGAGUGUGGGAGGGGAGAGCGGAACUCCUGGUGUAGCGGUGAUAUGCGUAGAGAUCAGGAAGAACACCCGUGGCGAAGGCGGCUCUCUGGACCAUAACUGACGCUGAGGUGCGAAAGCCAGGGGAGCGAACGGGAUUAGAUACCCCGGUAGUCCUGGCCCUAAACGAUGGAUACUAGGUGUGGCGGGUAUCGACCCCUGCCGCGCCGCAGCUAACGCAAUAAGUAUCCCGCCUGGGGAGUACGGCCGCAAGGUUGAAACUCAAAGGAAUUGACGGGGGCCCGCACAAGCAGCGGAGCAUGUGGUUUAAUUCGAAGCAACGCGAAGAACCUUACCAGGGCUUGACAUCCCGGUGACCGGUACAGAGAUGUACCCUUCUCUUCGGAGACACUGGAGACAGGUGGUGCAUGGUUGUCGUCAGCUCGUGUCGUGAGAUGUUGGGUUAAGUCCCGCAACGAGCGCAACCCUUG
rnacentral:rRNA from 1 species